AUACCUUUUUUAUUUUGAAUUAAGUUUAUUUUAAUAUUAAAAAUCUGUUCUUAUCAGUUUAAUAUCUGAUACAUCCCUUAUCUGGGGACCAUAUAUUAAAUGGAUUUUUGGAACAGGGAGAUGGAAUAGGGGCUUGCUCCGUCCACUCCACGCAUCGACCCGGUAUUGCAGUGCCUCUGGGAACGGUGCACUCCCC